rnacentral:rRNA from 1 species
UACGUAGGUGGCAAGCGUUGUCCGGAUUUAUUGGGUUUAAAGGGUGCGUAGGCGGCUUAUUAAGUCAGUGGUGAAAUAUCGCAGCUUAACUGUGAGGGUGCCAUUGAUACUGAUGAGCUUGAGUACAGAUGAGGUAGGCGGAAUUGACGGUGUAGCGGUGAAAUGCUUAGAUAUCGUCAAGAACACCUAUAGCGAAGGCAGCUUACUAAGCUGAAACUGACGCUGAGGCACGAAAGUGUGGGGAUCAAACAGGAUUAGAAACCCUGUAGUCC